GUGAUUUCUAGGCAGUCAGGCGGUUGUUGAAUUAGUAAUUCCUUUUCUGUAAAAUUAUUUUUCUGUCUUUCAUUUGCCCCUGUUUAUUUGGAGCUCUGUAUUUAAUUUGGCCGCCUCUCUGUGGAUGCACUUUGGACAUUCCGGCAAAUGAAAUAAUGUUCUGGGUUUUGCUAAGAAUUUCUUCAAGAAGCUAAAUUCGGAUAAUAUUCUUAAAAAAACAAGGAUGCUGUCAGUCAGGCGACAUUAUUUGUGAUUUAAUAACAGUUCGAAGCCGAUUUACCCUGGCCUUAAGUCACAACAAAAUUUUGAAAGGAUUAAAAAUGUUUGAAAGCAUUAAUUUCUUUUCUGUCAAAUUUGUUUUUAUUACUUCUUUAUGUUCUGAAGAAAUAUAUUGAUUUCUCUCUCUA